rnacentral:tRNA from 2 species
GCCCGGAUGGCGAAAUGGGUAGACGCAUGGGACUUAAAAUCCCUUGGCCGCAAGGCCGUGCCGGUUCGAGUCCGGCUCCGGGCACCA